AUUGAACGCUGGCGGCAGGCCUAACACAUGCAAGUCGAACGAGUGGCGGACGGGUGAGUAAUGUCUGGGAAACUGCCCGAUGGAGGGGGAUAACUACUGGAAACGGUAGCUAAUACCGCAUACCAUCGGAUGUGCCCAGAGGGGAUUAGCUAGUAGGUGGGGUAACGGCUCACCUAGGCGACGAUCCCUAGCUGGACUGAGAGGAUGACCGCCCACACUGGGACUGAGACACGGUCCAGACUCCUACGGGAGGCAGCAGUGGGGAAUAUUGCGAAAUGGGGGAAAGCCUGAUGCAGCCAUGCCGCGUGUAUGAAGAAGGCCUUCGGUUUGUAAAGUACGUUCAGCGGGGAGGCGUUACUCGAAGAGGAAGCACCGGCUAACUCCGUGCCAGCAGCCGCGGUAAUAC
rnacentral:rRNA from 1 species